rnacentral:misc_RNA from 1 species
UCCCCGUUACCGGGGCAGUCUAGCCAGACAAUUCAACUGACUAUAAGGGUUGCGCUCGUUGAUGGACUUAACCAAACAUCUCACGACACGAGCUGACGACGGCCAUGCAUCAUCUGUCAUCGGGUUCCAAAAGGCACUCUCUCCUUUCGGAGAGAUUCCCGAGAUGUCAAACCCUGGUAAGGUUCUACGCUUACCGUCGGAUUAAACAACACGCUCCACCGCUUGUGCGGGUCCCCGUCAAUUCCUUUAUGUUUUAGUCUUGCGACCGUACUCCACAGGCGGGAUGCUUAACGCGUUAGCUUCGCUACUACCAGGGUCGAUACUGAUAACAGCUAGCAUCCAUAGUUUACGGCGUGGACUAC